UUUCCUUAGCCUUACUCCAGGGGGUUCUUGACUGUAGAGUGCCCUGGCACUGCCUGGAAUAAAUAAAGGAAUAAAGGAAUAAGCAUGGCUCCCUCCACAGGAAGAUUCCACUUUCUUGUGGGGACUACAGACUGGGCUGACAGC